AUUCAGAGGAAAAUGAUACUGGAGAAAGAAAUGCAGAUGGCAUGAUAACGGUGCAAUGACUUCAUUGAAAGAGCUUGCUAGAAGAGACGAUGGAGGCUUGGAGGUCAAGGCCAUCUUCAAGGGCAAAUAAUGAUGGACGACAGACAAAUAACCAUGGGCUUGCAGUGCCUUUUCAAGAUGAGUUAUACAAACUUUUCUAGAUUUAUUUUACAACUCUCCAAGAUGGCAAACUGAUAUCUGAUUUGGAGUAUUAGAUUCUAAGACAAGGCAGUACUCAAAGACAAUUUAGAGAUGGAUGGCAGAUGUAGUUAGUAUCCUGAGAACCAAAGCUGUGGAAGUGUGUGUGCUUUUUAUGAAGAUGAAAAGAAGACAGUGGGCAGUCAGCCACAAGGUGCCAGCUGCUUGUACGUUGAAUGCUAAAUGGGAUUUGAAUUGGAUGAUGGCCUCCCAGUUUCACAGGUAAGGUUUUCUAGAUUUUUUAAAUUGAGGAUGUGAAAGCAAGUGGAAAAAGAUGAAUGUGAAUAUUUAUUUUGUGUUGUAAUUGAAAAAGUCCUCUGUACAUCAAA